CAGCUCAGGCUAUGAGAAUCCUCCUCCCCCAUCUGUAAGUGUCUUUGGGGAGGUGGAAGCAGGAACCUCUGUUAAACUGGGGGCUGCCUGACUACUUGGAAGAGGCCUGCUGUGUUUGCUGAAGGCAGGCUAGCCUUUUGGAGAGAUCCCCAUCAUCCCUGGGGACACAGCUCUGUUGUGGCCUCAGCAUGGGAAAGGAGAUUGAAGACAGAUGGAGAGAUGAUAUUGCCACACACAGUUUAAAUACUUAAUACGGUGUGAAACCUUGUUCUAAUUUCUGGACCUUCUCUGAAUCUCCAUUUCUUCAUUCAUAAAACGGAAACAACUUCUCAGAAGAGUGAAUGAGGUGUGUCCACACACUGACAUGAGUUUUCUUCCCGUCUUCUUGUUUCUCCCAUUAAUUAACAUCAUAUUUCAUCUUCAGCUCAUAUACAUUUUUUUGCAACAGAAAAUUAAAGAAAUAUAAAGAAAGCUCUCAUUUUCACCUGCCCCUAGUUAAACCAUUUUUGCCUUUUGUUGCAUUUCCUUCCUGUAUUUUUUCUAAGCUUAUUAGUUUUCGUUGCUUUACUGUAUUCACAUUCAUAAUUUUAAUGGCUGUAUAUACAAUUCCUUCCACAUAUAUUGUAUUUUGCUGAUGUUUGCUGCUAUUGAAUAUUUACACUGCCUCUAUGUUUUGCUUUUAUAAAUAAAACUUUGAUGAACAUC